GACAGCAGAAACAGGCAGGGAAGCAGGGAUAAUGUGGCAAAGCCAAACUGUCUCUUUUGGGGCAACAGCUCCACGUCAGGGCUGGGGCAGCCACAGAGCCACCUGGAAAACAACUUGAUACAUUUAUCACUUUUUAUUCUAUUGCAGUUUAGCAGAUAAAAAAGAAGACUCGAGUCCCCAAGGCUCUCCAUCUGGCACCUUUCAUAAGCACUAAAUUAUUUAGUAAAGAAAGUCUUUAUACAUUCAGUGUUUCCUUUGUAUAGCUGAUGUGGCUCACCCAAGGCCCUCUUGAAAACAAAAAUGCCUGAAAACAGUGAUUUCUUAAAGUAGUCUGAGUAAUACACGUUUUAGAGCUCAAACCUAUUGAGUUUCAGUCACUAUUCUUUAAUAAUGGCAAAUCUAUACAAAGUUAAAAGCAGAAUUGCAGCUGCUGUAAUAAUCUUGUCUUUGCUAACUGCCUCUGCAGUAAUUUGGAUGUCUUAGCACACACAGUGAAAGUGCUUUCCUUUGUAAAUAAGAGAAGGAACAGGCUGCCGAGCUUCUCAUCCUCCCCGCUCUCAAAAGGCAAUUGGUUCAUACAGACAGCCAAUCUGAGAAGGCUUCAGAGAAACAGGAUCUGAAAACCAGGCUUGCUGAUAAAAAAGAAGGAAACAAAAGGCAUGCCACUGUCAAGAAAUGUCCCACCAAUUCCUCAGUUUUCUUCGACCCAGUGAAUGUGCCCAUAGAGCAAAUUGUGAGUGCUCCUUGCAAGCUGUCUACACUUGCCAGCUUCAUCUCCUUCUUCCCAUGGAGACUUUGAUCCUGCCUUGCCUUCUCUGAACAAUUCAUGCUGUUUUUCACAUGUGACUGUUGCACUGCAAGAAAUGCUGUCUCUGUGGGUCUGUGAGCAAUGUCCCAGCAGCACAUACGUCCCAGGGGCCCACGUCCCUGUGCCUUUCCUGACAGCAAGAGUAGGCUGUCACCAUCCAGUUGCAAGAGCAAGGAGGGAGAAAUGCCCAUGACAGCUGCCUGGGAAGAGAAAAGACAGGGCCUGUGGAUGAUAAUUUAUCUACUGGGAUGCAGACACACUUUCCUAUGAACUGAGGCAGUAUCAGCACACAGCAGCAUGGGCAGAGCUUUCCCACCAGUUCUGACACAGGCUCAGAAGGCAGUGGCCAUUUGCCUGUGGGGCAAGAAGAGCCCGGCCUUGCCUCAGUUGAUUGCCAGUUGUGUCUAAUUAGCCCGCACACUUACCAACGUUUGUUGGUAAGAAACUGAACUGGAGUAAACCUGUUUUUUCUAACUCAUCAUUUGCAACUGUAUGAGGGAAGAGUCAGAUGUCCUCUUAUGAAUACGACUGACAAAGUUUAAUAAUUAAUGUCUCCAAAAAAAUGUGAACAACGCUCUUUUCCUUCACUGAAAAAUCAGCCUUUCUGGCGUGAGGUAAUUUGUAAUCAUCAUCAUCUGCCUUGAAUUCCAGCACAACACAAAUUAUUUCUUCCAGUCUUCUGUGUAGAAAUAGGAAAAGAAAUGAUUAGUCCAGAAUGGCACAACUGCAAGGGUUGCCUUAGUUCAGCCACGUAGUCUGCUACCGUAUCCACAUCUCGAACUCAGUACUUUGAUGACAAAUGAAAGCACUUACUACAUUCCUGAUUGUAUAAAUGAUUCUGCAGUCAUUGGUAAACAAGGUUACACAAAGCCCUGACUCACAGAAUGCUAAAUUAAAAAGAACAGAUUGACAGGGAAGAUCCCAUGAAAGGCUUCAACAUUUCUGAAUACGAAAUAAAAUUAAUAAGGAACU
rnacentral:lncRNA from 7 species